rnacentral:rRNA from 1 species
UACAGAGGUCUCGAGCGUUGUUCGGAUUCAUUGGGCGUAAAGGGUGCGUAGGUGGCACUGUAAGUCGGGUGUGAAAUCCUGAGGCUUAACCUCGGAGCUGCAUUCGAUACUGCGGUGCUUGAGGACUGGAGAGGAGACUGGAAUUCAUGGUGUAGCAGUGAAAUGCGUAGAGAUCAUGAGGAAGACCAGUGGCGAAGGCGGGUCUCUGGACAGUUCCUGACACUGAGGCACGAAGGCCAGGGGAGCAAACGGG